GGUAAAGCCAGACGGCCAGCAGAGAGAGAGGGGUGGUAAAGCCAGACGGACAGCAGAGAGAGAGGGGUGGUAAAGCCAGACGGCCAGCAGAGAGAGAGAGGUGGUAAAGCCAGACGGCCAGUAGAGAGAGAGGGGUGGUAAAGCCAGACGGCCAGCAGAGAGAGAGGGGUGGUAAAGCCAGACGGACAGCAGAGAGAGAGGGGUGGUAAAGCCAGACGGACAGCAGAGAGAGAGGGGUGGUAAAGCCAAACGGCCAGCAGAAAGAGAGGUGGUAAAGCCAGACGGCCAACAGAGAGAGAUGGGUGGUAAGGCCAGACGGACAGCAGAGAGAGAGGGGUGUUAAAGCCAGACGGACAGCAGAGAGAGAGAGGGGUGGUAAAGCCAGACGGCCAGCAGAGAGAGAGGGGUGGUAAAGCCAGACGGCCAGUAGAGAGAGAGGGGGG
ensembl:lncRNA